rnacentral:rRNA from 1 species
GUGCCAGCAGCCGCGGUAAUACGUAGGGUGCGAGCGUUAAUCGGAAUUACUGGGCGUAAAGGGAGCGCAGGCGGUCUAAUAAGUCUGAUGUGAAAGGUCAUAGCUCAACUAUGGACGUGCAUUUGAAACUGUGUAACUAGAGUGUGUCAGAGGGAGGUAGAAUUCCACGUGUAGCAGUGAAAUGCGUAGAGAUGUGGAGGAAUACCGAUGGCGAAGGCAGCCUCCUGGGAUAACACUGACGUUCAUGCUCGAAAGCGUGGGGUAGCAAACAGGAUUAGAUACCCUGGUAGUCCACGCCCUAAACGAUGACAAUUAGCUGUUGGGGUACUAGUUACCUUAGUAGCGAAGCUAACGCGUGAAAUUGUCCGCCUGGGGAGUACGGUCGCAAGAUUAAAACUCAAAGGAAUUGACGGGGACCCGCACAAGCGGUGGAUGAUGUGGAUUAA